UACGUAGGUGACAAGCGUUGUCCGGAUUUACUGGGCGUAAAGAGCGCGCAGGCGGUCGUUCAAGUCGAGUGUGAAAGCCCCCGGCUCAACUGGGGAGGGUCACUCGAUACUGAUCGACUCGAAGGCAGGAGAGGGAAGUGGAAUUCCCGGUGUAGUGGUGAAAUGCGUAGAUAUCGGGAGGAACACCAGUGGCGAAGGCGACUUCCUGGACCAAUACUGACGCUCAGGUGCGAAAGCGUGGGGAGCAAACAGG
rnacentral:rRNA from 1 species